GACUGGCGAGUUUGCAGUGUACACACCAGCUGCUUUCACCCUUGAUUCUCAAGAGUCUAAGACCACCAAUACUACAUGGUCAACACCAGCAUCGUUCAACCUUGCUUCACCUGAUCCUGAGGUUAAUUUCAAUUCGAGGACCUACUGUCUAAGACGUUUACGGCGACGAUCGGGAGCUACAGCAACAACAACAUCUGGCAGUCAUAGUGCAGUAGUGACGUUCCAAUGCAUCAUACCAGAGAUCGAGAUUCUAGACAGCGAGGACGAAGAAAUACAAAGCGCUUUACUAGAGUCAAUGCAGCACCAGGAACCAAGUACCAUAAGCGAUGAUUCCACAGAGCCGUCUGUGGCUGAUAUCUUACAAGAGUUUUGGGACCGAUACAUCAAAGAUGACCGCACAAACUGUGUGAUCUCCUGUUCGAAGCCGUUAGAUAUUGCCAUACUACUAUUAGAAAAGACGAC